UACGUAGGGGGCAAGCGUUGUCCGGAAUCAUUGGGCGUAAAGCGCGUGUAGGCGGCUCGGUAAGUCUGCUGUGAAAGUCCAGGGCUCAACCCUGGGAUGCCGGUGGAUACUGUCGAGCUCGAGUCCGGAAGAGGCGAGUGGAACUCCUGGUGUAGCGGUGAAAUGCGCAGAUAUCAGGAGGAACACCGGGGCGAAGGCGCCUGCCGUGGACGACUAUUGACGCUGAGGCGCGAAAGCGUGGGGAGCAAACAGG
rnacentral:rRNA from 1 species